ACGGUGUUUCUGUUCACUCCUCACACCACACAUCGCCUGGACUCGUUUCAGGCGUU
rnacentral:sRNA from 1 species